rnacentral:rRNA from 1 species
GAUGAACGCUAGCGGCAGGCUUAAUACAUGCAAGUCGUGGGGCAGCAUGAGUAGCAAUACUUGAUGGCGACCGGCAAACGGGUGAGGAACACGUACACAACCUUCCUUCAAGCGGGGAAUAGCCCAGAGAAAUUUGGAUUAAUACCCCAUAAUAUAUUUGAUAAGGCAUCUUAUUAAUAUUAAAAGCUUCGGCACUUGAUGAUGGGUGUGCGGCUGAUUGGAUAGUUGGCGGGUAACGGCCCACCAAGUCUACGAUCAGUAGCUGAUGUGAGAGCAUGAUCAGCCACACGGGCACUGAGACACGGGCCCGACUCCUACGGGAGGCGGCAGUAAGGAAUAUUGGACAAUGGACGAAAGUCUGAUCCAGCCAUGCCGCGUGAAGGAUUAAAGGUCCUCUGGAUUGUAAACUUCUUUUAUAUGGGACGAAAAAAGGGCAUUCUUGUUCACUUGACGGUACCAUAUGAAU